rnacentral:rRNA from 1 species
UUCUCAGUUCGGAUCGGAGUCUGCAACCCGACUCCGUGAAGCUGGAUUCGCUAGUAAUCGCGCAUCAGCCAUGGCGCGGUGAAUACGUUCCCGGGCCUUGUACACACCGCCCGUCAAGCCAUGGAAGCCGGGGGCGCCUGAAGUCCGGGACCGCGAGGACCGGCCUAGGGCGAAACUGGUGACUGGGGCUAAGUCGUAACAAGGUACC